AUGAAGACCAGCGUAAUGAGCUUGUCGGAUUUUCAGAGAGGUGGUGCAUGGCCGUCGUCAGUUCGUACUGUAAAGCGUUCUGUUAAGUCAGAUAACGAACGAGACCCUCAUCUCUAUUUGCUACCCGUCUCUCCGGAGGCGGCGCACUAUAGGGAGACCGCUGGUGUUAAACCAGAGGAAGGCGAGGGCAACGACAGGUCAGUAUGCCCCGAAUGUCCUGGGCUACACGCGCGCUACAAAGGACGGGACAAUGGGAAGCCAGGCCGAGAGGCCGAGCUACCCCGAAACCCGUUCAUAGUUCGGAUCGUGGGCUGUAACUCGCCCACGUGAAGCUGGAUUCCGUAGUAAUCGUGUUUCAAUAUAGCACGGUGAAUAUGCCCCUGCUCCUUGCACACACCGCCCGUCAAACCAUCUUAGUUGGGGGUGGGUGAGGCUGCGCUUGCUUCGGCAUGGCGUAUUCGAGCCUGUCUUCGACAAGGAGGGUUAAGUCGUAACAAGGUAUCUGUAGGUGAACCUGCAGAAU
rnacentral:rRNA from 1 species